UCAAAUGAAUUGACGGGGAGCACCACAACGGGUGGAGUCUUGCGGUUUUAAUUGGAUUCAACGCCGGAAAUCUUACCGGGACCGACAGCAAUAUGAAGGCCAGGCUGAAGACUUUGCCGGAUUAGCUGAGAGGUGGUGCAUGGCCGUCGUCAGUUCGUACUGUGAAGCAUCCUGUUAAGUCAGGCAACGAGCGAGACCCACGCCCACAGUUGCCAGCGUACUCUCUGGAGUGACGGGUACACUGUGGGACCGCCGCUGCUAAAGCGGAGGAAGGAAUGGGCAACGGUAGGUCAGUAUGCCCCGAAUAUCCCGGGCUACACGCGAGCUACAAUGGUUGGUACAAUGGGUAUCUACCCCGAAAGGGGACGGGAAUCUCCUAAAACCAAUCUUAGUUCGGAUUGAGGGCUGCAACUCGCCCUCAUGAAGCUGGAAUCCGUAGUAAUCGCGUUUCAACAGAACGCGGUGAAUACGUCCCUGCUCCUU
rnacentral:rRNA from 1 species